rnacentral:lncRNA from 1 species
AGAGUCCUGUGUGUUGAUUGUUGUGGUGGUGUGAAAGCAGAACAAAAACUCCUUUUGAGGCCGGGCACAGUGGCUCAUGCCUGUAAUCCCAGCACUUUGGGAGGCUGAGGCAGGUGGAUCACCUGAGGACAGGAGUUCGAGACCAGCCUGGCCAACAAGGUGAAACCCUGUCUCUACUAAAAAUAUAAAAAUUAGCUAGGCGUGAUGGCGGGCACCUGUAAUCCCAGCUACUCGGGGGGCUGAAACAGGAGAAUCACUUGAACCUGGGAGGCAGAGGUUGCAGUGAGCCAUGACUGAGCCACUGCACUGCAGCUUGGGCAACAAACGAAACUCUGUCUAAAAAAAACACACAGUUUGAGAGAGUUUUUCCCUACACAGAUAGUAAUGACAGUGUGAGGAAGGCAGCAGUUGCUGGACUCUAGAAGGAGAGAGCUGAGUCCUUGACAGGAGCUGUCACCAGGGAAAGCAGCCAGCCAGAGGUGACCUUGCAGGGAGGGAGCGUGGGAAAUGACCGCUGAAGCUCUGCUGAAGCCAGAGGGCGGAUAUCCCUUCCUGUAGUCGACACAGGUGAGCUUCCAAGGCUCAGAGCAAGUGGAGAAGGGUGGAGAAUGCACCUGAAGGGGCAUGACAUGGUUUGGCUGUGUCUCCACCCAAAUCUCAUCUUGAAUUGUAGUUCCCAUAACUCCCACAUGCCGUGGGAGGAACUUGGUGGGAGGUAAUUGAAUAAUGGGGGCAGGUCUUUCCUGUGCUGUUUUGGUGAUAGUGAGUAAGUCUCACGAGAUCUGAUAGUUCUAUAAAGGGGAGUUCACCUGCGCAUGCUCUCUUCUUGUCUGCCACCACGUGAUACGAGACGUUACUCCUCUUUGCUUCUGCUAUGAUUGUGAGACCUCCCCAGCCAUGUGGAACUUUCUUAGGCCUUAGAACUUGGACUGGCGCUAGACCGUUGGCUCUCCUGGUUCUCCAGCUUGCUGACUGCAGAUUGUGGGACUUCUCAGACUUCAAAACUGUGUGUGAGUCAAUUCCUUAUAAUAAAUCUCUCUCUCUCCAUAUGUGUAUAUACAGAUAUAUACACACGUACAUAUAUCUGUCCAUCUAUCUCUCUCUCCAUAUAUAUGUCUCUACAUAUAUAAAGUAUGUAUACACACAAUAUAGUUAUAUAUAUGCACAGUGUGUAUAUAUAUAUACAACACAAUGCUAUAGGUACGUGUAUAUAUCCUAUUGUUUUAGUUUCUCUGUAGAACCCAGACUGUUAAUACAGGGAGAGUAG